AUUGAACGCUGGCGGCAUGCCUUACACAUGCAAGUCGAACGGCAGCACGGGUGCUUGCACCUGGUGGCGAGUGGCGAACGGGUGAGUAAUACAUCGGAACAUGUCCUGUAGUGGGGGAUAGCCCGGCGAAAGCCGGAUUAAUACCGCAUACGAUCUACGGAUGAAAGCGGGGGACCUUCGAGCCUCGCGCUAUAGGGUUGGCCGAUGGCUGAUUAGCUGGGUGGGCGGGUAAAGGCCUACCAAGGCGACGAUCAGGAGCUGGUCUGAGAGGACGACCAGCCGCAUGAGAGCUGGACCACGGCCAAGGCUCCUACGGGAGGCAGCAGUGGGGAAUGUUAGGCAAUGGGCGAAAGCAUGGCACAGCAAUGCGGCGUGUGUGAAGACGGCGUUCGGGUUGUAAAGCACUCUUGUCCGGAAAGAAAUCCUUGGCCCUAAUACGGUCGGGGAAUGACGGUAACGGAAGAAUAAGCACCGGCUAACUACGUG
rnacentral:rRNA from 1 species